rnacentral:rRNA from 1 species
GAGGAAAGAGGGAGGCGUGCCUAAUACAUGCAAGUCGAGCGAACAGAUAAGGAGCUUGCUCCUUUGACGUUAGCGGCGGACGGGUGAGUAACACGUGGGUAACCUACCUAUAAGACUGGGAUAACUUCGGGAAACCGGAGCUAAUACCGGAUAAUAUUUCGAACCGCAUGGUUCGAUAGUGAAAGAUGGUUUUGCUAUCACUUAUAGAUGGACCCGCGCCGUAUUAGCUAGUUGGUAAGGUAACGGCUUACCAAGGCGACGAUACGUAGCCGACCUGAGAGGGUGAUCGGCCACACUGGAACUGAGACACGGUCCAGACUCCUACGGGAGGCAGCAGUAGGGAAUCUUCCGCAAUGGGCGAAAGCCUGACGGAGCAACGCCGCGUGAGUGAUGAAGGUCUUCGGAUCGUAAAACUCUGUUAUUAGGGAAGAACAUACGUGUAAGUAACUGUGCACGUCUUGACGGUACCUAAUCAGAAAGCCACGGCUAACUACGUG